UCUGAAGUGGUCUAGUGGUUAGGAUUCGUGGCUCUCACCCACGCGGCCCGGGUUUGAUUCCCGGCUGGGGAA
rnacentral:tRNA from 1 species